GUCUAUUAUGAAGUUAUUUAUAGUCUGGCCUGCUCCCUGACUAUAAAGUUAAAGAGCCGCGGUAAUUUGACCGUGCAAAGGUAGCAUAAUCAUUAGUUUCUUAAUUGGGAACUUGUAUGAAAGGUCUGACAAAGGAAAAGCUGUCUUUAUUGUAAAGGUUGAAUUUAACUUUUAAGUGAAAAGGCUUAAAUGAUUUAGAGGGACGAUAAGACCCUAUAAAGCUUUAUAUAAAAAAUAAUCAAAAUUGAAUUUAUAAUAAAAUUUAAAUUAAUUAUUAUAUUUUAUUGGGGUGAUAUUAAUAAAAGUAAUAUUAACUGUUAAAAAAAAAUACGUGAAUAAAAGAAUUGAAUAUAUUAAUGAUCCUUGUUUAAAGAUUAAAAGAUUAAGUUACUUUAGGGAUAACAGCGUAAUUCUUCUUAAGAGUUCAUAUCGAAAGAAGAGAUUUUGACCUCGAUGUUGAAUUAAAAUAUCUGUGUAAAGUAGCCAUUACAUGAGAAGGUC
rnacentral:rRNA from 1 species